UUGUUCAUAUUAUAUUUCCUGUGAUUGAUUGCAAAGCUUUUGGUCAUUGCUUCUCAGUUUUAUGAUAUGGUAAUUUUUAUUUGCUCUCACUUUUUUUAUUUUUUAUCUCUUGCUCUUGCUUUGCAAAUCAUUACAGUAGUUUCUUUCUUUAUGUUUUAGUGAAAAUAAAAGGUAAGUAAAGUUCCAACUCUUUUGUUAUUGUCUUUCAAAUGAAAUCAGCCUGAAGAGGAUUUGUUUUUCCUACCAUCCACUUUACGAGUGACACAUAUUUGAUAACCUGGUUUCUACCACAAAUAUAUCUUUCUCUUUAAGCUUGUUAGUUGUGACAGCCAUUAUGACUCCCAUUUGAAGUUUAUGCUUAAUUCUUGUUGUGAAUCCGCUUGUUUUUUUGUAUCCCUAGAAUCUGUAUAUCAGGGCUGAACAUGAGGCAGAAUGGGAGGGCUGAUGCUCUAACACAAGCAAUUUGAUUAAAUGCUGAUUGUUCUGUAGUGCUUUAUCACCCAUAUGCCCGUAUCAUUACAUAUAUUGACAUGCUAAAUAGUGAUUGAUAGUUGAACCUCUUAGCAUUUUCACCAUAAAGAAAUUUUUAUCCCAUGUUAUGGAGUUCAUGCAAUUUUAUUAUACUUUAUAUAUUUGGAUUUUUACUGUUCUGUGUGUAAAAUAUUACAAAAGGCAAGUGUUAAUUUAUCAAUUUGGAGCAAUUGUUGAUUUGUUCAUAGAAUUUAUAUUAAUCAACUUAAGCUAUUCAUUCUGGGUUUUGAUGAGCAUGGUUUUUUUUGGCUGUAUUUACCUGAGAAAGUCACAUUUCAGUUGCAGAUGGAGUAUACUCACAUGUACAAAUGCCCUUUGAAAGGGUUAAAAAAGCAAGUGAAAGUAAAGAAAGGUGUUUAUCUAAUUUUGUGAAUUCAAGCUGCUAAGAAUUUGAAUUUACCAC